GUAACCGAUACAACAUCGCAGCCAUCGGUACUAAGUAGUAGUGCCGCAGGUAACGCUGGUUCAACUUAUUACCUGCACUCUACUGCUUACUAUCGCCUGGUAGGUUCACACAACCCUAGCUC
rnacentral:pre_miRNA from 9 species